AUCUAACCCCAUAGGAAACGACGCGUCCAUAGUGAAACAAGCCAGCACCCACAUUUAUGAAAAAAUCCACGGAUUUCAACAAAAAUGAAGAGAGGAGAGCAGAAGCGGAGAGCCACAACCUCAGGCCCCAGACAGCAGGCAGCAGCAAGUCCUGAAUGCCUUCACUCUUAACAUUGCAAAGACCAAAUGGCAGCAAAGAAAAACAAGAAUAAACUUUAAAUCCAUUCACCACAAAGGAGUCCUACGCAAGUCAAAGGAGCCGUCGAUUUCAAAACCAUCAACUUUCAAAGCCAGGUCCCUCCCUUGCCUUACAACCUCCUGUUACUUGUUAAGCACGUUUGUUAGGCGGCUGGACAGAAACUUAGUUAAAAGUCCUCAGCCCGGUGGUGGGGGACAACCGAGUCGUCAGUGGGAAGCGAGAGGUGCGGAGCCCCAGGGGCGCAGGGACCCCUCGGAGGUGCAAGUCCAGCGGGACGAGGUUUUGGGAGAAUUUCGAGGGCCCCUCGCAAGCCCUCCCGCGCACCCACCCCGACCCAGCUCUGGAAAACAUCGCGGGGCCCGCAAAACCCCGGAAAUGUGGCCUCUCUUUCGUGGCUCACUUUCUAAACUUUCCAGAAGGCGCAAAGUUUCUCCCAGCGCCGCCCUGCACUGGAGGCUGCGAAGAACGCAGAAGCGGCUUUGCUGCUAGGAAGCUAAGGCCACCGCAUAUCAAAAAUAGCAGCGUGUGAGUAAAAGUUUCAUGAGCCCUCGCCUUGAAAUGGCACAGAGGACACAGCACACCAGCAGUAAGGCAUGGGGACUCGGCAGGACUGAUCUGAUUGAGAGAAACGCAGGACAGCGAGGCGGGGCUAUGUUGGUGGUGGCCACCAGGUAACCGUGGGCUUUGCAGAAGAGAAAGGUCACUGCAAACCGUAGCUGGACGGAAACUUUUCAAGCCUCAAGUGAGUUAUGCUGUGACGGGACCAUGACCAUCUCCCACCGGUGACUGCUUAGAACCUUGACCAAGCUCGUGUGGUUUUCACAGGAUGCUCAGGGCUGAGUCCUGGCUGUAAAUAAUUUACUAUCUAAAGCUGUUUCCUUUUAAAAACAAUGGUUCUAAUCUUUUUUUUAAAAAAAAUCAUUCAAAUCUUUUUUAAAAAUCCACUUUAAAUAACUUUGCUUUCUAUACCUUUCCUACGAAUAUAUGAUUUAUUUUAUAACCUACUAUGUGAAAAAAUUGAAAUUUUAGUACAUGCACAGUGCUAAUAUGUUCAUGCACAAUGCUACUUAUGUUUGUGUACGGCAUGCAGAAAUGUGUAUAGAUAUGUAUACCCAUGAAUACAAACCACUCCCUUAUCUCACAAAUAAUCAUAGGGGUUGAUACCAAACUAUAAGAAAUAUUAUAUUGGGAUGAAUAGGCAAAUGUUCACUAUAAAAUCUCAGUAUCAUAAAAAGUAUAUAUUGGUAAGAAAAAAAUAUACUCGAAAGAGGUUUCCAUAUAUUUUUAACCAUAGCUCUACUCAAGUCAAAAAAUCACUUAUUAGCUAAUUUUCCCGUCUCUUUCUUCCUAUACACUGUACUUACUAUCAGAUUUCUUAACACCAAUACUUCUAUAUCUAAUAUAAAGACAUUUUAAAAUUAAUUAUUUCCAUGUUUAGCCUUUCCCCAUAAAUCAAAGGUAAAGUAAAAGGAGUUUCUUACCUACCACUCAACUUGAAUAUUUUUAAUAUGUUGAUUUUGUCUCUUACCUUCUUAAGGAAUACAGUUGCUUCUGUUUUGACUAUCUUAACUACUCUGUGGCCCCUUCUAACAUCAAAUUGGGAGGCCUGUCCGUACAAGACAUGUGUAUUCAACAGUAAGUUAUUUGCUAUAAAACACUUCAUUUCCUCUUUAUUUGGUCUGCUGUGGCCUGAAAUGAAAUAUAGAACAAACUGAAAGGUCUGCCUGGACAGACCUGUCUUCCUGACAAGCGUGGACCUGUCUAAAUGAGACAGCUUCUGCAGCCAGCUUUAGAUCGAUAACUCUAAAAUUAAAUGUAGGUAUGUACAUCCAGUAGAAAAGGACAGAGAAAAUGAAAUACAAUACAGAAUUCAGUUCAGCAUCUAGAUUAAUCCAUAAAACCUAGCUCAUUAUGUUCCAAAUGAGCUACUUUUCUCAUCUGUAAAAUGGAAUAAUGGUACCAGUGCAGUCUUUUAUAUGGUUCCAAGUUGUCUUUUAUCAAAGUAAAAUAAUAUAUUUGGGUGGGCUUCUGAAGACACUAACAUUGAUGAUGAGGUUUCAACAGGAACAAAGAAUACCUUGAUAAAUUUUCUUGAAUGUUUUCUCCUGUCUGUAGUCCUCUUGUCAUUCAGACAUUCCCUUUCUUGGAGAGUCAUCCUGAUGCUUUCUGUCCUAACCUUUCUCUCCUCCCCUCUGCCAAGCAGUAUUUCUUUAGAUUUGUUUCUUCAAAUGACUUCAGCAGAGGUAAAGACCCAAAGACAGCUGGCGCUGUCAAACAUGACAAAAAAUAUUCUUAGCCACAGUGGCUCAUGCUUGUAAUCCCAGCAUUUUGGGAGGCUGAGGCGAGAGGAGCGCUUGAGCCCAGGAGUUCGAAGCUGCAGUGAGCUGCCAUUGUGCCACUGCACUCCAGCCUGGGCAACAGCCAGGCCCUGUCUCUUAAAAAGUUUUAAAAUUUUUAAAUAUAUAUGUAUGUUCAGCAAAAUGAAGCCAGGCAUGGUGGCUCACACCUGUAAUCCCAGCACCUUGGGAGGCCAAGGUGGGCAGAUCGCUUGAGGCCAAGAGUUUGAGACCAGCCUGGCCAACAUGUCUGUCUCUACUAAAACCCUGUCUCUACUAAAAAUAUAAAAAUUAGCCGGCAUGGUGGUGCAUGCCUGUAGUCCCAGCUGUUGGGAGGCUGAGGCAUAAGAAUCUCUUGAACUUGGGAGAGAGAGGUUGCAGUGAGCCAAGAUUGCACCACUGCACUCCAGCCUGGGCAACAGAACAAGACUGUGUCUCAGAAAAAGUUCAGCAAAAUGAAACAUUGUGAUGGAUAUUUCAAGUUCAGGUUUUACAUUAAUAUCUGGAAGGACACCAUAGACUUUGUCAGACUAUUGAUAUAAGCUAGUGAUCCAAGGACUAUAAUUUGAGAAGCAUUUCGGGUGGAAAAAUUGGCUGUCACUGCCUUUGGCACUAUUAUUUGUUCAAAAGGUUCCCCAGUCAUGGCACACUCAUGGAAGAGUUCUCUCUUCCUCCCUCUGUUCGCUUCCCUCUGGCAAAAAGCUUUUGAAAUUUUCUGUUCGAGAGUAAUCAAAACUAUCAGCAAAACGAUCUGUUGGAAACUUUCCCUCCAGUCUAUUAAGGUAGAGACUGAUUCAAAGACAGUAUUUUGGUGAAACAAUACCCUGAGAGAACUCAGCCUUUUCCGGAAAGUUUUGCAGAUGAUGCCUCCAGGCAUAGUUUUCUUCCUCCUUGAAAUGGGGUAUUUGUGCCUCUCCAGUGUUUUUCCCCUUGGCUAGGGGGGAAAAAAAAGCAUUCUCCUUAGGAAACCUUUCUAUUUUAAAAGUCCAGCGGCAAAGGUGGGUGGGGCAGCCCAAUUUAGUAAAAAGUAAUAAUAAUAACACUCUUCAGAGUGCAGGUGGCAUAAGGAGAUUCCAAGAAUGGAGAGAAUUUGGGUUUGCAUGCAGCAGCCUCCUGCAAGGACUAGGCUGCAAUGAAAGCCCCAAACAGAGUAACUCUGUGUUCACCUUUUUCUUAUCACAUACAUCUGCAUGAAUACUCUGGGUAACAUCAGAAGUAGGUCAAGGCUAGCAGAUCCUUUCUCUGUAGUCUCCCUCAUCCAAAAUAAAAAAGGCUUAGAUCUAAAACAGAGUGAAGAAAGACAAGGAAAAGGAAAAAAAUAUAUGUGUGUUAUAUAUACAACUAUAAAGCUAAAAAUGGAUCUGGAUACAAAGAAAUCAUAGAAAGGGUCAACAAAACAAAAACCUAGUUCUAUAGAACAAUAGCAAGAUAGAUAAAUUUCUGGUAAAAUUGACAAUGAAAAAAGAGAAAAGAAGGCUAUGAAUAUGGAGAUUAUAAUUACAGUUUCAGUAGAAUUUUUUAAAUCCUAAGAAUACUAUGAACAUUAAAAAACUUGGCUGAA
rnacentral:lncRNA from 10 species